rnacentral:rRNA from 1 species
GAUGAACGCUAGCUACAGGCUUAACACAUGCAAGUCGCGGGGCAUCAUGGAGGUUGCUUGCAAUUUCUGAUGGCGACCGGCGCACGGGUGAGUAUCGCGUAUCCAACCUGCCCCUUACUUGGGGAUACCCCGUUGAAAGACGGCCUAAUACCCGAUGUGUUUCAUUGACGGCAUCCGAUAUGAAACAAAGGUUUUCCGGUAAGGGAUGGGGAUGCGUCUGAUUAGCUAGUUGGCGGGGUAACGGCCCACCAAGGCGACGAUCAGUAGGGGUUCUGAGAGGAAGGUCCCCCACAUUGGAACUGAGACACGGUCCAAACUCCUACGGGAGGCAGCAGUGAGGAAUAUUGGUCAAUGGGCGAGAGCCUGAACCAGCCAAGUAGCGUGCAGGAUGACGGCCCUAUGGGUUGUAAACUGCUUUUAUGCGGGGAUAAAGUGAGGGACGUGUCCUUCAUUGCAGGUACCGCAUGAAUAAGGACCGGCUAAUUCCGUGCCAGCAGCCGCGGUAAUACGGAAGGUCCGGGCGUUAUCCGGAUUUAUUGGGUUUAAAGGGAGCGUAGGCCGUGGAUUAAGCGUGUUGUGAAAUGCAGGUGCUCAACGUCUGCACUGCAGCGCGAACUGGUCCACUUGAGUGUGCGCAACGCAGGCGGAAUUCGUCGUGUAGCGGUGAAAUGCUUAGAUAUGACGAAGAACUCCGAUUGCGAAGGCAGCUUGCGGGAGCACAACUGACGCUGAAGCUCGAAAGUGCGGGUAUCGAACAGG